AACUCAGUUAAGGUAUCGUAUACAGUUUCCUUGAAAGUCCGGUCUGAAAUAAUCGAAUAAACUGGAAAUGGGGUGUAAUGUAGUCUUAUCAAGCAACCUGUCUUAGGCAAAGCUUAUGAGAUCAACUCAGUUACGGUAUCGUAUACAGUUUCCUUGAAAGUCCGGUCUGAAAUAAUCUAAUAAACUGGAAAUGGGGUGUAAUGUAGUCUUAUCAAGCAACCUGUCUUAGUGUGAAGGCGUGUCCUGGAAAAUGAAAGCUAUAGUUGAUCGUUGAAUAUGAAUCAAAGAUUGGUUGUUUUGAUAUGUUUGAGGAAUGUUGUCUCAGGG
rnacentral:lncRNA from 1 species